GGUUGCGAUCAUACAAGCACUAAUGCACGAGAUCCCAUCAGACCUCCGCAGCUAAGCAUGCUUGGGCGAGAGUAGUACUAGGAUGGGUGACCCCCUGGGAAGUCCUCGUGUUGCAACCC
rnacentral:rRNA from 1 species